rnacentral:rRNA from 1 species
CACUAUCGUUAACUGAAUACAUAGGUUAACGAGGCGAACCGGGGGAACUGAAACAUCUAAGUACCCCGAGGAAAAGAAAUCAACCGAGAUUCCCCCAGUAGCGGCGAGCGAACGGGGAGCAGCCCAGAGUCUGAAUCAGCUUGUGUGUUAGUGGAACGGUCUGGAAAGUCCGACGGUACAGGGUGAUAGUCCCGUACACCAAAAUGCACAGGCUGUGAACUCGAAGAGUAGGGCGGGACACGUGGUAUCCUGUCUGAAUAUGGGGGGACCAUCCUCCAAGGCUAAAUACUCCUGACUGACCGAUAGUGAACCAGUACCGUGAGGGAAAGGCGAAAAGAACCCCGGCGAGGGGAGUGAAAAAGAACCUGAAACCGUGUACGUACAAGCAGUGGGAGC